rnacentral:rRNA from 1 species
UAGGGAAUCUUCGGCAAUGGGGGGAACCCUGACCGAGCAACGCCGCGUGAGUGAAGAAGGUUUUCGGAUCGUAAAGCUCUGUUGUUAAGGAAGAACGAGUGUGAGAAUGGAAAGUUCAUGCUGUGACGGUACUUAACCAGAAAGGGACGGCUAACUACGUGCCAGCAGCCGCGGUAAUACGUAGGUCCCGAGCGUUGUCCGGAUUUAUUGGGCGUAAAGCGAGCGCAGGCGGUUAGAAAAGUCUGAAGUGAAAGGCAGUGGCUCAACCAUUGUAGGCUUUGGAAACUGUUUAACUUGAGUGCAGAAGGGGAGAGUGGAAUUCCAUGUGUAGCGGUGAAAUGCGUAGAUAUAUGGAGGAACACAGGUGGCGAAAGCGGCUCUCUGAACUGUAGCUGACGCUGAGGCUCGAAAGCGUGGGGAUCGAACAGG